GUCUGAUGUGAAUCCCGAGGCCCAACCUCGGAACUGGCAUUGGGAAACUGGAUUUACUUGAGUGCGAUAGAGGCAAGUGGAACUCCAUGUGUAGCGGUGAAAUGCGUAGAUAUGUGGAAGAACACCAGUGGCGAAAGCGGCUUGCUAGAUCGUAACUGACGUUGAGGCUCGAAAGUAUGGGUAGCAAACGGGAUUAGAUACCCCGGUAGUCCAUACCGUAAACGAUGGGUGCUAGUUGUUAAGAGGUUUCCGCCUCCUAGUGACGUAGCAAACGCAUUAAGCACCCCGCCUGAGGAGUACGGCCGCAAGGCUAAAACUUAAAGGAAUUGACGGGGACCCGCACAAGCGGUGGAGCAUG
rnacentral:rRNA from 1 species